CAGUAGCCACGGGAACACGAAGGGUGCAAGCGUUAAUCGGAAUUACUGGGCGUAAAGCGUGCGUAGGCGGUUUGUUAAGUCUGCUGUGAAAUCCCCGGGCUCAACCUGGGAAUGGCAGUGGAUACUGGCAAGCUAGAGUGUGUCAGAGGAUGGUGGAAUUCCCGGUGUAGCGGUGAAAUGCGUAGAGAUCGGGAGGAACAUCAGUGGCGAAGGCGGCCAUCUGGGACAACACUGACGCUGAGGCACGAAAGCGUGGGGAGCAAACAGGAUUAGAUACCCCAGUAGUCCCUGUCUCUUAUAC
rnacentral:rRNA from 1 species